AUGGGGAACACGCACGAAGGGCACUCCGGGCAGGCAAACCGUCCCGUCGUCUUCAUUGGGAACGUCGACCACAAGCUGAAGCUGCGCUCCAAGAAGGGCCAACUGCCAUUUCGUCGAGGUAAAUGGAGAGGAAAUCGCCGACUCGGCCAUCAUCAUCAAGGAGCUGGCCCAGCGCUACGAGAAGGGACCUGGACGCCGCCCCUGACCCAGGAAGCAGCGAAACAUUGCUCCACCGCCAUGAUUUCCAUGCUGGAGAACCACCUGAUCUGGGGUGCUUGCUGUUCUGGCGCAGCAAAAACCCCGACCAAAUUGAUCAGGGCUACCAAGGUCAACCUUCAGCACGCCCUCGGAAGCCCGGCUGCCCAACGCUGGUGCUCAACUUCCUGUUCAAGUUCCAGUUCGGUCGCAAAGUAUUUGCAGGAGCCAAAAAGGUGAAGGCCCAAGGGUCUCGGGGCGUGCACAAACCCGAGGAAAUCGAAGAGUUCGGCAAGCAGGAUCUGAAGGUGCUGUCCGAGCUGUUGGCCGACAACCAUUCUUCUUCGGCGGAUGAACCGACCACGCUCGACUGCGUCGCAUUCUCCGUCCCUGGCCCAGGUCCACUACAUCUCCGACGAGGUCAAGUACGCCCUGAAGGAGUACAUGCAGGAGAACUGCCCGAACCUGGUGGGACACGUCUCGCGGAUCAAGGAGCGCUGCUUCCCCGACUGGGACGACAUCUGCACGAAGCUGGACCUGAACGCCCAUCUGCCCAAGCCAGAACCAGAGACCAAGGAGAACAAGGAAGGUGCCGACACCGAGAAGACCACCGAGCAGGACAAGAACGAAUCGGAGAAGGAACUCGAGAAGGACAACACCAGCGAGAAGACGGAGAAGAAGGAGGAGAAGCCGGAAAAGGUGGAAGAGAACAAAGAGAAGGAGGAAGCUGCCGCCAAAUAAGUUGCUCCGUAAUCGUAAAUCUGUGGAAGCAGCUUGCGCUUACGACUAUAUUAUUAUGAUUGUCGCAGAUUACUUUUUAUUUUAGUUUUCCCACUAUUGGCUAAUUCUAUUCCGUUUUUUUAUUAUUUUAAUUUGUGUCUUCGGUUUUCACACACACGCACUAGUUGACAAAUUGGUUAGAUUCGAUUUUUUUCUACCUGUAAGUGAAACGGAAAACGAAACGGGAAAGUUCUAUAGAUAGAAUGCAUUUUUCGUGCGAUUGUUAGUAGGUUUUCUCUAUCUACUAGAUUUGGUUUUCCUAGUCGCGUGUAUCGACGAAACGAUUAUAACGAGCAAAGUAAACGCGAGUAAAUUCUUGACUAUUGUUUACACACUUUUUUAAAUACUUGCGUUUGUUUAAAGAAGAAGGCAGGAGUGAGAAAAAAUCGGGCAAACAUCAACCGAAGAGAUCAGUGUAUAAUAAUUCAAACACGUGUGCAAUUUUGUACAAUUUCGCGUGGAAAAAUAUUUUGCUCUUUCCGACGACGAGAGGUAGAGAAGGAAACAUCCGGUGGUGAAGAGCGGAAAGUCAAAGAGAGGAAGGAAACAGCAGAAGAAGGUCGUAUGUAGUUUUGUUUAUUUUUUUCAUUUUAGUAGAAAAAUUACUAGCAGACGUAACAAAUUAGUGGAAUGAGAGAAGAACCCAAACGAGAAAGAGAAGGUCACGAGACAAUGUGUAAUGUUCACUGCUUAAGCUAUUCUUACGUUUAGAGUUUCAGUUUUACUUUAGUUUUUUAGUGUAAGGUAAUGUUCACGACGAUUGCUACGGAAAUACUCAAAAAAUCAUUCAACAGCUAUUUACAAGACGGUUUACCGUUGAUGGUCGGCGGACUGAAGCGUGCCAAUGGUUUCGCUUAGAGUGCGUCGAUUCACAUAAGAAUUGGAACAUCUGUUUUUGACACCACGAUGAAGUAAACUCUUUGCUUGUAGUAGUAAAACAACCUAAUGAAAAGGAAUGUAAUAAUAGUUUAUUAUUACUAUUAUAUAUUUUUAUAUAUUAUAUUUUCGUAUAUAUUUAUAGUAUUUUAUAUCAAUUUUAUGUAUAGUACAGUCUCUCUUUCUCUUUAUGUUAGUUUAAGGUUAAUGCAAAGAAAAAGAAGAAGAAGGAAUCUAUAUGGUCGUUUUCCAAAUUUCUGUUUUGUACAAAAUUUUGCGAAGUGAAGAAAUUUUCCCAUGUUUCUUCCCAGGACGUUUUUAUUCUUCAGAUUGAAGCUAAAGAGUAAAAACCAGGCGGCGGGAAAAUUUCCUUCGAAGGAAACAUUUCGUUUUUGGAUCAACACUAACCCACACACCCAUGCACGCGUGUCGGAACGUUCAGAACCGCAUCCAGAAGAACAGAGAGAAAAGUACACACACGAAAACGGUUGCCGGAAACGAUAAAUAUCUCAAAACAUUCUAAUCAAUAUGAGUUUUCUUUCAUAUUUUAAAUGAAAUCUAGUUUAGCGCGUUCGUUUGUCGAUCAGUUUAGUUUCUCUUCUGCUUACACUACGUACAACGUUCUUCAUCAUAUUCCUUCUCUUUCCCGUUCACACACACGAAUCGUACAAUAGUUUCCGCCACAUUCUGUCCCGUCACUCACACACACUCAGUUUGUUCGCCCUCGUUCCAAAGGCGGAAGUAAUUUAAUCAAACCGUAAAACAUUUCCCCCUAGCAUAAGUAAGUGGACUCCGCGCUGUUUUCCAAUAUCGAAGAGUAAAUUUAAAAUGAAAUUACAAUUACAACACACACACAGAGAACAUUCAUUCGCGCCACAUACACAGAUGCAGAAAAAGAAAAGUUGGAUUAUCUAGGAUAAAUACUCUGAUGGAUAAAUAAUAAAACAGUGAUAAUAAAAAAA